CCUACGUGAGGCAGCAGUGAGGAAUAUUGGUCAAUGGACGAGAGUCUGAACCAGCCAAGUAGCGUGAAGGAUGACUGCCCUAUGGGUUGUAAACUUCUUUUAUAAAGGAAUAAAACGAGGCACGUGUGCCUUUUUGCAUGUACUUUAUGAAUAAGGCUCGGCUAAUUCCGUGCCAGCAGCCGCGGUAAUACGGAGGAUCCGGGCGUUAUCCGGAUUUAUGUGGUUUAAAGGGAGCGUAGAAGGGAUGUUAAGUUAGUGGGGAAAGUUUGCGGCUCAACCGUAAAAUUGCAAUUGAUACUGGCAGUCUUGAGUACAGUUGAGGUAGGCGGAAUUCGUGGUGUAGCGGUGAAAUGCUUAGAUAUCACGAAGAACCCCGAUUGCGAAGGCAGCUUACUAAACUGUGACUGACAUUGAUGCUCGAAAGUGUGGGUAUCAAACAGGAUUAGAUACCCUUGUAGUC
rnacentral:rRNA from 1 species